UCACCAUCUAUGCAUCCAUCCACACUGUUGUUACUUGGAUGUAGUUUACUUUACUUUAUAAAUAUGUUUGUCAUUUCUUUAUCUCCCUUUGUUACGGGCUAUGAGCCGGUUCGUAACAGUAUGAUAUAGCACUUUCUAGCUCUGAGUCUCUGCUUUUAUCCAACGUUAAAAACAGCAUUUCAAAUUUUGCUACAUAGGACCGAAUCCAGGUGGUGGGUCACAAUUGUGUCAAACCACCCAAUUAUUGAGAAGAAACAGCAUCAUUCAUCAACAGAUUACAAGAAAAAUAAUGCCUGGACUACCUAUUUGUAAUGAAUUAAACGCAAAUGAAAAAGCCAACAAAAGGAUGCUUCGGGUCCUGUGGAAAAACAUAAAAAUCGACUUAAAGAAGACAAUUGCAGUUGCUCGUAGGGAGAGUUUCAAGACUGGUGGCAGACUCCCAUUAAGACCGGAGACAAAUGAGCUGGGGGAUUUGAUGACCGUGAUCAUUGAUAGCCAGCAACCCCUGGAAGGUAUCUCCGAUGAUGACCAUUUGGACAGUUCAGAUUGGGGACCUUUCCAAUCCUCAUUUGGUAGGACACAUUCAUUCAACAUGUGCCACACCCCAGACUGCAGGGAAAAUUGAAUGUUGUCAGUCAUCUCUUGGACUCCCAAAAUAAAAAUGAUGUAUUGAACUCAA